GAUGAGCGCUGGCGGCGUGCCUAAUACAUGCAAGUCGAGCGAAUGACGAGGAGCUUGCUCCUCUGAUUUAGCGGCGGACGGGUGAGUAACACGUGGGUAAUCUGCCUGUAAGACGGGGAUAACUCCGGGAAACCGGGGCUAAUACCGGAUAACAAAAGAAGAUGCAUAUCUUCUUUUUGAAAGUCGGUUUCGGCUGACACUUACAGAUGAGCCCGCGGCGCAUUAGCUAGUUGGUGAGGUAACGGCUCACCAAGGCGACGAUGCGUAGCCGACCUGAGGGGGUGAUCGGCCACACUGGGACCGAGACACGGCCCAGACUCCUACGGGAGGCAGCAGUAGGGAAUCUUCGGCAAUGGGCGAAAGCCUGACCGAGCAACGCCGCGUGAGCGAUGAAGGCCUUCGGGUCGUAAAGCUCUGUUGUUAGAGAAGAACAAGUACGAGAGUAACUGCUCGUACCUUGACGGUACCUAACCAGAAAGCCACGGCUAACUACGUGCCAGCAGCCGCCGUAAUAC
rnacentral:rRNA from 1 species